AACGAACGCUGGCGGCAGGCCUAACACAUGCAAGUCGAACGGGACCUUCGGGUCUAGUGGCGGACGGGUGAGUAACACGUGGGAACGUGCCCUUUGGUUCGGAAUAGCCCCGGGAAACUGGGAGUAAUACCGGAUAAGCCCUACGGGGGAAAGAUUUAUCGCCAAAGGAUCGGCCCGCGUUGGAUUAGGUAGUUGGUGGGGUAAUGGCCUACCAAGCCGACGAUCCAUAGCUGGUUUGAGAGGAUGAUCAGCCACACUGGGACUGAGACACGGCCCAGACUCCUACGGGAGGCAGCAGUGGGGAAUCUUAGACAAUGGGGGAAACCCUGAUCUAGCCAUGCCGCGUGAUCGAUGAAGGCCUUAGGGUUGUAAAGAUCUUUCAGUGGGGAAGAUAAUGACUGUACCCACAGAAGAAGCCCCGGCUAACUCCGUGCCAGCCGCCGCAGUAAGAC
rnacentral:rRNA from 1 species